AACGAACGCUGGCGGCGCGUUUUAAGCAUGCAAGUCGAACGGCAGCAGGUAGCAAUACCUGUGAGAGUGGCGCACGGGUGAGUAAGACGUAGGUGAUCUACCUUUGGGUGGGGGAUAGUCCAUGGAAACAUGGGGUAAUACCGCAUGAGGCCUUGGGAGUAAGGUCCUGAGGUUAAAGGAGCAAUUGUUCCGCCUGGGGAUGAGCCUGCGGUCCAUUAGCUAGUUGGCGGGGUAAGGGCCCACCAAGGCUACGAUGGAUAGCCGGCCUGAGAGGGUGUACGGCCACACUGGGACUGAGACACGGCCCAGACUCCUACGGGAGGCUG
rnacentral:rRNA from 1 species